UGAUAUAUAUAAAAAAAAUCAGAAAAGAAAGAAAAAAAAGAGAAAAGCAAUGAAAAAAAAAAGAAAAAGAAGAAAAAGAGAAGUUUAAUUGUCUUGUAUAUAGUAGUUUGUUUGUUUGUUCGUUUGUUUAUGUUUGUAAUAAAAAGACCGGGUCGAAUUUUCGCUACUUCAUAUAUAUUCCAUUCCCUACCUAUACACCUAGCCGCGUUACAACCUUGAAGUCCCUUUGAUUUGCAUUCAUGUUUGACCCAUUUUAGGAGAAUGAUCGAUUUAGAUACAAGCUUAUGAUUGUGCAUCCACCCGUUCGCCUAGUGUGUGUCUAGCUUAUCUUUGCUAGUUUUCACUUGUAGCCGAGAGGAGAGAAUUUGAGAUGGGUGCAUUGCUUGGGUGUUAAAAAGGGGUUGGUAAAAAGAUUGCAUGUUUUGCUUGGUUUAAUUUGAUCACUUGUGUUGAAAUCGUUUUGAUGAGUUGCUUGGGACAAGCAACGGUUAAGUGUGGGGAUGUGACGGGUGGUCCAUUGGACAACCCUUAAGCGUGCUAAAAGAUGAAAUCAUCCUCCAUUUAAUCGUGUAAUUAUCUUGAAUUAGAUAACUACCGCUGCUUAUGUUUCAGGUGCAUUUUGGGAGCUAAAAGACGGAUUAGAUGCAGCUUUGGAGACUUUGGUGAUGAACGGGUCGAGUGCGGAACAAGAGACGAAAGAAAGAAGAACAUUCAGGUCAUCACCGUAAAUUACGGUCCCACCGUAAUUUACGGUGGACCUGAGAAUCAAAUAAUUGGCCACCGUAACACAGACUAUUUGCAUCGUAAAAGAAUCAAGUCCACCGUAAUUUACGGUGGAGCCGUAAAUUACGGUGACGGCUGCGAGAAAAUAUGAAACUGCCACAUUUAAGUUAGUUUUGGGGUGUCUUUUCAUUAUUCCUCAUCAUUGGACGGUUUUGGAUCAUCUUGGGGGGCGAAUUUUGGCUACUGGCUUGGUUCUUGAACAAUUCUUAUCAUCCGGUUUGUAUUUUUGAUUCGUAUGAACAUUGGUUUGAUUAUGAUGAUGAUUCACCGAGCCAUGUCCGGCUAAACUCUUCGGUGAUCAUCUUAGGUGAAUGUUUCUUGAACUUUUGUGUGUUUUAAUUCUGAAUUUCUAGAAUGAUAACUUGCGUUGCUUGAAUAUCAUGGUGUAUUCUUAA
rnacentral:lncRNA from 1 species